GCACUCGCUUCGGCAGCACAUACACUAAAAUUGGAACUAAAAUUGGAAGAUUAGCAGGUCUCCCACGCAAGGAUGACGUGCAAAUCCAUGAAGCGUCCCAUAAUUUU